rnacentral:rRNA from 1 species
UAAGGAAUAUUGGACAAUGGAGGCAACUCUGAUCCAGCCAUGCCGCGUGAAGGAAUAAGGCCCUAUGGGUUGUAAACUUCUUUUAGACGGGACAAAACCCCUUUACGUGUAAAGGGUUGAUGGUACUGUCAGAAUAAGCAUCGGCUAACUUCGUGCCAGCAGCCGCGGUAAUACGAAGGAUGCAAGCGUUAUCCGGAAUUAUUGGGUUUAAAGGGUGCGUAGGCGGACUAAUAAGUCAGUGGUGAAAGCCUGCAGCUUAACUGCAGAAUUGCCAUUGAUACUGUUAGUCUUGAGUACAGUUGAGGUAGGCGGAAUGUGUCAUGUAGCGGUGAAAUGCUUAGAUAUGACACAGAACACCGAUUGCGAAGGCAGCUUGCUAGGCUGUAACUGACGCUGAGGCACGAAAGCCAGGGGAGCAAACG